AAGAAAACCCCGAGAUACCCUCGAGCACCCGAAAGGUCGUGAGCUAAUUUUUCCUGCCAUAGAACCACGUCCUACUGUUGCAAUAGUAGAAAAAAAGGAGAAAUUAGAGGUGAAACGCCAAUCGAACCACCUGAUAGCUGGUUUUCGGAGAAAAGAGUAAAAGCUCCCCUACCUAAAGAAUAAAAACCAAUGUCCCACAAACAAAGAUUACUUCACAGGAUAGGAAGAAAGCAGAAGAUAAGUUCUGCUUUCAAAAGGGAAACAACCCCAAGUGUAAGAAAAAUCACCAAAAACAAGGAUACAUAACCAAAGUAGGCCUAAAAGCUGCCAACUAGAAAGAAAGCGUUAAAGCUCACAACCAUCACUCCAACAAUCCUUGACAAAAACUUAAUCUUCACUACAAGUACCCGAAAAAAACAAUGUUAAGAUAAGUAAAAAGAAACCCUCUCUCCCUACAAAGAAAUACUCAACACCAAAGAGAGCAAAACACAAGAAGACUCCAAAUAGUAUUCUACCAACCCAGGCGUAGAGAAAAGAGACGGAAAAACAGAAAAGAAGGAACUCGGCAAACCAGUAAAAGGACUGUUUACCAAAAACAUAGCCCUUUGAAUACCUAAAGGGUCCCGCCUGCCCAGUGGCCAAGGCUAAACGGCCGCGGUAUCUUGACCGUGCAAAGGUAGCAUAAUCAUUUGUCUUUUAAAUGGAGACUUGUAUGAACGGCAAAACCUUUUUCAGCUGUCUCCUUUUCUACCCUUUUAAAUUUCUUUCUGUGUGAAGAAGCACAGAUACACAAGAAAGACGAGAAGACCCUGUCGAGCUUUAGCCACUAAGUGAAUAAUAUUGCCCAUUAAACAUCACCCAAAGGCUUUGGUUGGGGCAACCAAGGAGAAAAAAAAUCCUCCAGAACAAACAGAAGAAAACCCUUCACUGAUAACUUCCUAAAGAACCAAAAAUUGGCAUUCGGAAAAAGUUACCGCAGGGAUAACAGCGUAAUCCUCUCUGAGAGUCCUCAUUGACGAGAGGGUUUGCGACCUCGAUGUUGGAUUGGGGAACCCUUACGGUGCAGAAGCUGUAAAAGGUUAGACUGUUCGUCUAUUAAAACCCU
rnacentral:rRNA from 1 species